GUCUCGCGCUCUCACCUCACUCCGAACCACGCUCGCGGAUCGAGCUCGUGACACUAUGCCGCACUCUAUAUAAAUUAAAUAUCACUUAAAAUAAAUAAAACCAAAAUACCAUCUUCGACUCUUUAAUAUAAAAUCCAGUCCAACUUUCGCGAGUAGCUCGCGUUUAUUAUCAAAGUUCUAUAUCUAAUAAACUUAGACGCUACCAGAAAUAUUUUUGGUAACUGUUAUGAUACACAAUUCUAAUCCCGAGCUGCAGUCUGUCCGUCACCGUCUGUAUUAAAGAAGGUCAUAUAAGCCGAGCAUCAUGCCGAUUAUACAGUCCUGUUGCUGUUGGCGCAGCCUUCGCCGAGGCUGCUACGCCUCAGCUAUUUAUACAAUGGUGUACUUUUCGGUCACGAUUGUGACAAUGGGGCAUUUCAUCGAUAUGGAACAACGGUACCUAACCGGUGACGCGACCGAGCCUACAUCGGAAAGCUUCUUGGAACCGGAGAAGAUUACACCAAUCACGGUGUCGCUCAACAUAACCCUGCUGGUUUGCAGCACCGUAGGACUCGUCGCUUGUAUUCUGCUGAUAGUAGGAGUAAAAAAGGACAUCAAAUAUUUGCUGCUUCCAUGGGUGGUGGCUAUGGGGCUGGAGACUGUUGUGGAAGUCAUCAAUUUGAUCUACUUAUUCUACUUGCAAACUUUAAAUUUCAACCCCAUAACCUCAUUCCUGUUCACGCUGGACUUCUUCAUCAUAGUGCUGAAUAUCUAUGCCAUGGUGUGCGUGAUCUCUCAAUUCCAAGAGUACCUCGACGGUCGUGGAACUGCUGCUUUUGAAAACGUUGAUCGGAAUACGGUGCAGUACACAGCAACGGCUCAACAGACUACUACCACCAGUUCUGCUCCAAGUGGACGCCGCCGCUCCGCUGCACGACCCAUGCCAAGCCGUUGCGACCCUGAGGAAUUCUCCGAAGCGCCCACCAAAAUUAUCACUCCACGACAAAUAUCGGACGAAUACACAGAGCCACGACCUCAGACCAGCCAAAGUACGUUGCCUUCUGUCCUGUCGAGACCAAGCCGCUCCGCCGUGAAGAAGCACGUACAGUUCCCUGACGAACAAAGCUGCAUCGAAGAAGCAAUUGAAGCACCUCAACCAGGUCCCAACGAGAAACCGGAGGCACGCGUCAUCUCCUCUUUGUGGAUGGAAUUGGAGUCGGAAGCUCCGGUGCCAGAGCGCUGACGCCGGCGGAGCGAGCAGUACUACCGGCCAGUUUCCCGAGCUCGGAACGAGCGUCGGAAAAUGUCCGCAGCCGGAGUACCGCCCGCCGACGAUUCUCAGAAGGAUUCCCUCUAAACUAACCGACCACUGGACGCAAGAUUAACCUCGAUCAACAUGAAGCUAAUUGGCUGUACGCAAGCAGGGUAAUGCGAGGCUAAUUGAAUUUGUUCCAAAAACAAAGCUAUUUUAUCUGUAGACGUAUUCUUAAAGACUUUAGUCGAUUGUUGCCAACAAGGUACGCUAUCCUAAGCUGAAAUUAAACCUUUUAUUUGACAUGUUUCAAAAAUUUUAAAAUAAAUUUUUAACUUAAAGAUUCAUGAUAAACUUCUCGUAAACUUUUUACGAAAGUAAAGUCUCGUGGCAUUGCGUACCUGCAGUCUUAAUAAAAUACUUACUUUUGGUUGUACUAAUUGGAUUUAGCCUGGAGGACUCCGUUCCUCAACGUGAUUGAACGCAUUUACCCGUUUCGUAUGAAAAUUAGAUUCAAAGGCAAAUUGUACGAUUGAAUUACUGAAAUGUCAUUAGCUGGAAUACGAUAUACUUAAAUUAUCUUUAAAAUGUAAUACAUAACCAUAUUAAACAUAACCCAUUUAUCGGAACAAAUAUAAAAUAUCAUAUUUGGAUUAAUUAUCUAAGUAUAUUAGGAGUGCUGUUUCAAUUUUUUCGUAGUUGUUAGUUUGUAAUCGGUUAUAAGUAGAUAGCUACUUUAUUUCGAUACUUUUGCCGUGUUCCCACCUUUGGUUACAUUAUAUUGCAUAGAUUAAAUACCUUGUUUGGUCAUUUUAUGUACUUAAUAAGUGUUAGAAAUUAAACACCUAUUUAUAGUCACGUGUAACAAUAUGUGGGCAACCAGCAAAAUGGUUAAAAAAGAAGUAAUGUUGCUGUAUUCAACCUCCCUGUCGUCUGCUAUUACAUGAUUUUUAAAUCAUCAUCACAACGAUGUUUCCUUAAAUAGAGUAUCUCAAUUAAAAUGUCUCGGGCCAAUGUCUGAGAUAUUUUAAUCAUGUCAUGUAACCCAAUAGUUAUAAUAAUAAUAAUAA